UGGAUUUGAAACUGGAGUUCAGCACUCCUCACCUUUUGACAGGUGGCUUAUUCUCUGCAAGCCUGUUUCUCUCCUCUGUAAAAUGGCGACAAUAAUUCUCAUAUAAUAGAAUGCACGUGAAAUCAGAGAUCACACAACUGCUGAUCACAUCUUUUUUGUGUUCCCAGGGGCACCAGACUAGGGUUUCUGUGCAUGGAUCCAACCAUCCCAGCCUUGGGUACAGAACUGACAUCAAUCAAUAGGACUGAGGAGACCCAUCUUCAACAUUGUGGCAUGGAGAUCAUGAUCCUCAUGUUGCUGCUCCUCAUCGUUGACCUGGUCCAGCUGGCAGGAAAUGCAGUCAUUUCCUCUGGCUCCUGGGAUUCCGCAUGCACAGGAACACCUUCUCCCUCUACACCCUCAACCUGGCCGGGGCCGACUUCUUCCUCUGCUCCCAGGCCUGAGCAUGCUGGGCUCCAUCAGCACCAAGCACUGCCUGUCCAUCCUGUGGCCCAUCUAGUACCGCUGCCGCCACCCCACACACCUGUCAGCAGUCGUGUGUGUCCUGCAAUGGGCCCUGUCCCUGCUGCAAAGCAUCCUGGAGUGGAUGUUCUGUGGCUUCCUGUUUAGUGGUGCUGAUUCUGUUUGGUGUGAAACAUCAGAUUUCAUCACAGUCACGUGGCUGAUUUUUUUAUGUGUGGUUCUCUGCGGGUCCAGCCCGGUCCUGCUGGUCAGGAUCCUUUGUGGAUCCCGGAAGAUGCCCUUGACCAGGCUGUACAUGACCAUCCUGCUCAGAGUGCUGGUCUUCCUCCUCUGCGGCCUGCCCUUUGGCAUUCAGUGAUUCCUAUUUUUCUGGAUCCACGUGGAUUUGUCACGUUCGUCUAGUUUCCAUUUUCCUGUCCACUCUUAACAGCAGUGCCAACCCCGUCAAUUACUUCUUCAUGGGCUCCUUUAGGCAGCUUCAAAACAGGAAGACUCUCUAGCUGGUUCUCCAGAGGGCUCUGCAGGACACGCCUGAGGUGGAAGAAGGCAGAUGGCGGCUUCCUGAGGAAACCCUGGAGCUGUCAUGAAGCAGAUUGGGGCCAUGAGGAAGAGCCUCUGCCCUGUCAGUCAGACGGCACUUUGAGAGCAACACUGCCCUGCCACCUUGACAAUUAUAUGUGUUUUUCUCAUCUUUGUGCCUCAGAAAUGCCUCAGUGAUUCCCUCAAUAUCUUCAAAUAGUUUUAUUUUUAAUCUCACAUUUCUAGUUUUACUCAGAGAAAUCAUUAAUUUGAAAGUACACUGUUUAGAUCCUUCUUCAUAUUACCAACAAAUUUCCC
ensembl:lincRNA